CCAUACAGCUUUGCCACCUUGGAAAUAUCUGAUCUUGAAAGUUUUGCAGUGUUGAGCCUGUUUAGUCUUUGAAUGGAUGGACACCUUGGACUAGCAGGUGCUGUAAGUA
ensembl:rRNA 5S_rRNA 5S ribosomal RNA